rnacentral:tRNA from 1 species
GGGGUAGUCGACAUUGGUAAGUCAAAGGUCUUGCUAAUUCCUGGAGAAAUCCUUGGAUGUUCGAAUCAUCCCUAUCCCG